UACGAAGGGAGCUAGCGUUGUUCGGAAUCACUGGGCGUAAAGCGCACGUAGGCGGAUUUGUCAGUCAGGGGUGAAAUCCCGGGGCUCAACCUCGGAACUGCCUUUGAUACAGCAAGUCUUGAGUUCGAGAGAGGUGAGUGGAAUUCCGAGUGUAGAGGUGAAAUUCGUAGAUAUUCGGAAGAACACCAGUGGCGAAGGCGGCUCACUGGACCGGCAUUGACGCUGAGGUGCGAAAGCGUGGGGAGCAAACAGG
rnacentral:rRNA from 1 species